GAUGAACGCUGGCGGCGUGCCUAAUACAUGCAAGUCGAGCGAACAGACGAGGAGCUUGCUCCUCUGACAUUAGCGGCGGACGGGUGAGUAACACGUGGAUAACCUACCUAUAAGACUGGGAUAACUUCGGGAAACCGGAGCUAAUACCGGAUAACAUGUUGAACCGCAUGGUUCAACAGUGAAAGACGGUUUUGCUGUCACUUAUAGAUGGAUCCGCGUCGCAUUAGCUAGUUGGUAAGGUAACGGCUUACCAAGGCAACGAUGCGUAGCCGACCUGAGAGGGUGAUCGGCCACACUGGAACUGAGACACGGUCCAGACUCCUACGGGAGGCAGCAGUAGGGAAUCUUCCGCAAUGGGCGAAAGCCUGACGGAGCAACGCCGCGUGAGUGAAGAAGGUCUUCGGAUCGUAAAACUCUGUUAUUAGGGAAGAACAAAUGUGUAAGUAACUAUGCACGUCUUGACGGUACCUAAUCAGAAAGCCACGGCUAACUACGUG
rnacentral:rRNA from 1 species